UGUUAAAAGUUUUAUCUACUUCUAUUAUUAACUAGAGAAUUACAUGUGAUGUGUUACGUAUACCUCAUUUUGACGUAUAUGUACCAAUUUUUAUCAGCAGAAAUGGAUAAAAUUUUUAAUA
rnacentral:pre_miRNA from 1 species